GACGAACGCUGGCGGCGUGCCUAAUACAUGCAAGUCGAACGCAGUGGGGACGGGUGAGUAACACGUGGGUAACCUCCCAUCAGAGGGGAUAACACUUGGAAACAGGUGCUAAACCGAUACUGAUGGAUGGACCCGCGGUGCAUUAGCUAGUUGGUGAGGUAAAGGCUCACCAAGGCGACGAUACAUAGCUGACAUGGGGGGGAUAACGGCCACACUGGGACUGAGAAACGGCCCAGACGCCGACGGGAGGCAUCAGUAGGGAAUCUUAGGCAAUGGACGGAAGUCUGACCGAGCAACGCGGCGUGAGUGAAGAAGGUUUACGGAUCGUAAAGCUCUGUUGUUAGAGAAGCGGUAACUAACCAGAAAGGGACGGCUAACUACGUGCCAGCAGCCGCGGUAAUAC
rnacentral:rRNA from 1 species